rnacentral:lncRNA from 1 species
AUGCCUAUGUUUCUACAGUAAGCCAAUCUGAUUGCUAUGUGAGCCUCUGGUUGCCAACUGCUUCAGAUGAAAAAUUCCACACCAAAACCAUCAAAAACUGCAGAAAUCCUGUGUGGAAUGAAGCUUUCUACUUCCGGAUACAGAGACAAGUCAAGAAUAUUUUGGAAAUUACUGUUUCUGAUGAUGACAUCAUUCAUGAUGACGACCAGGCAAUUGUGCUUUUUGAUGUAGCUAAAAUCCCCCUUGGGGAAAGAGUGUUUACAGCAUUCCCACUAAAUCCACAGAGGAGGGAGGAGCUGGAAGUCGAGUUUGUACUGGAGAGCAUGUGAGUAGAACCCCAUUAUUAUGGGAGCAGCGGCUUGGAGUGGUGCAUCAGUGCAGGGACCCCAGUAUCACCUUAAUAGCCAGACUGACCCUUUUUUGAAACUUAAUGUGUGCAUCAGCAAAUCAUUGUAAGAAAGAAAAAUGCCAUGAUGUGGAAAAGGAGCUCAGAAUUUUUAAUUCCGUGACUUUAUCUUAAAAUUUAUCUAUUACUUACAUAAUUCAGAGUUGAUUUUCUGGGGCUGGUAAAUCCCACUGCAGUAAGGCUAUAGAUUUUCUGAAGAGGGUUCUCUGGGCAGCUCACAGCUGAGGAGAAGCUGGCUGAUACCCAAUCUGUGACAUACCUGUGCUAUUAAGGUUGUUACAAGUACUUUCCAGGUGCUUUCUUGCAAUUGAAUAAUUUCUGAUAGGUAGUUCUGUGGCAUCUAGUGAAAAGUGAGCAUACCCCUGCAAAUAAUAGGAAGGAGAAAAUUUUUAAAAAAAAAAAAAAAGAGAGAGAAAGAUGUGUCCUGUUCAGAAUAUAUAUUGUUUAUGAAAUAUUUAUUAUUUGUACUUAUUUUCUAGCCGGGGUCCUCCUGAAGCCAUCAUCACAAAUGGGGCAAUAGUGGU